AUAUAGAUUUAUAUAAAUUUAUUAUUUCUGCAACGAGUUCAAAGUAAGGUUGAUUAUCAGUCGACUCUAUUUCAAGAUCUGAGAAUGAUUUGCCUAUUUUUGGGCGGAGAACAUAGCAUAUGCAUGCUUGUAUCACUGCCACCAUAGAUUAUCAUUAGAUCCACUGGUAGAUCUACAACAAAUCAUUCUCAGAUCUUGAAAGAGAGUCGAUGCAGAAUUAACGCAUUGUUUCAUUGAUAGUGAAUCGAUCAGAAUAGACAGAAUAGAUCAUUGUCAUAGAAAAAAACGUUGAUGUACUUUUUGCAUUCGAAUUGACAUAAUUUGAACAUAGACUGCAUUUAUGCCAUAAAAUAUGUCUGAUCGGACGUGCUGAAUCAUCCGGCAAAAACCAUCAAUAUUUCUAAAGCAACAUUAAUUAGAAUCAAGGUCUACUGUGCAUUUAAUCCGUCAUGUGUUUGUUUCAGAUGAAUGAAUACCUGCACCAUGGAAACAAUGUCAUUUGCAAACUUUUUGAACCUGUGCUGGGCGUUCACAUUGACAUUUCUUGUUCAACAGGAAUACAUGAUGUCGACCAACAGUACAGCUAGAUGAAGAUAUAAAUUUAUUCAAAGAAAUAAUGGGACAAUGAAUGCUAAAAUUGCCAAGAAGAAGACUCCAAUUUACACACCAUUUUAUACAGGUUACAGUAUGAUAUGGUGAACAAAAUGCCUCAAUGCAGCCAGUUCUGGAGCUUUGGCUAGACUAUGAACAGUAGACAUCAAAAGAUGGUCAUCUGAAGGGCUCAAUUGUUUAAAGCA